UACGUAGGGUGCGAGCGUUGUCCGGAAUUAUUGGGCGUAAAGAGCUCGUAGGCGGUGUGUCACGUCGGCCGUGAAAACCUGCAGCUUAACUGUGGGCGUGCGGUCGAUACGGGCAUCACUGGAGUUCGGCAGGGGAGACUGGAAUUCCUGGUGUAGCGGUGAAAUGCGCAGAUAUCAGGAGGAACACCGGUGGCGAAGGCGGGUCUCUGGGCCAUAACUGACGCUGAGGAGCGAAAGCAUGGGGAGCGAACAGG
rnacentral:rRNA from 1 species